GGACCAGGUACACCCAACAAUAUGCUCCCCAUCCCAGAAGUGAAGCAUCUGUGUCAAAGUCUCAUCAGUCUUCACAGAGAAGAGUGUGGAGUCAUCAAAAGGACCAACGCCCUUGACACAAAUGACAACAGAAGAAUUCCUCACUGUGAAGAACAGGAGACUUGAUCGACACAACCUACAGAGUCAGCAGCAAAAGAAGAACUGAGAGUAAGAGGUGCUGCUGUGCAAGACCAUAAGGCUGGGGGCAGAGACACGUUUCUGGCUCCAGCACACAGUGCCCCAUGGAAGCUCAGAACUGGAGGUACCUACCGACAGGCAGGCCUGCGUUUGCAUAGUCCCCAUGUGGGACUGCACAGAAGAUCAACGAUAAACA